AUUCUGUACUUAUAUAGUAAUUUGCCAUGCAAGGAUCUCAAAACACCUUACAAAUAUUAAUGGAUUAAACCUCACCACAGCCUUCUGAGAGAAGUAUGACUGGCCUUGCUUUUCUAAUAUCCUCUGGUCCACACGGCUACAACACUGCAAACAACUAAGAUAUCGAAUGUUGCCAUCUGAAAUGGAAACUCCACAACAUGAAAGAAAAGGAAGCAAAACUUAACAGCAACUUCUACUUCCUGAGGAAAUACAAGAAACAAAACAUACAUCACCCUCAGAGGACUCACCAUCUCAGAAGUUGGUCCAGUAAAAGAUAUUACCUCACCCGCCUUGUCUCUUGCUGGUAGACAUAGGAAGCAGACACCACAGGGCCAUCCGACUAUGACUGUCCUCAUGUGCAUUGUCCAUUCUUAGCUUAUUUUCACUGGUCAUGAAUAUCAUGCAAAAAUUAACAGGAAGGUUUCUCAACUACACAGACUUUCUGUCAUUCUAACUUGUUGGUGAGACACCCUAGUUUGUGAUGAUGAAUAGCAUGGAGACAUCCUGCUACAGGUAGACAGCAACCUUGUACUGAUAAUUCUUAACAAGUGUCUGAUAAUAUUAAUAAAUAAUAUACUAGGCCUCUUUCU